GGAAUAUUGCGCAAUGGGCGAAAGCCUGACGCAGCCACGCCGCGUGUGUGAUGAAGGCCUUCGGGUCGUAAAGCACUGUCGGGAGGGAAGAAUCCAUGACGGUACCUCCCAAGAAAGCGCCGGCUAACCCCGUGCCAGCAGCCGCGGUAAUACGGGGGGCGCAAGCGUUGCUCGGAAUCACUGGGCGUAAAGCGUACGCAGGCGGCGAUGCAAGACAGGUGUGAAAUCCCCGGGCUUAACCUGGGAACUGCACUUGUGACUGCAUGGCUAGAGUGCGUCAGAGGGGGGUGGAAUUCCGCGUGUAGCAGUGAAAUGCGUAGAGAUGCGGAGGAACACCGAUGGCGAAGGCAGCCCCCUGGGAUGACACUGACGCUCAGGCACGAAAGCGUGGGGAGC
rnacentral:rRNA from 1 species